rnacentral:lncRNA from 1 species
UUUUUUAUUUUUAUUUAUUUUCUUUUUUUAUUUCUUUUUAAUACUAUUAAAAAUAGUUUUGGACUGGACUUUUCAUUUAUUCAUCCCCCACAUCCUUAUGAACUUGAUUUUUAUUUUAUCUUUAGUAGUUAGUUAAUUAAUUAUUUAAUUGAUUGGUUGAUUAAAAUUUUAAUUUUAAUUAUUAUUAUUAUUAAGAUAUUUGUCUUUUUUAUUCGAUUUUAAUUUCUUUA